rnacentral:rRNA from 1 species
CCCUGGAGUGGUGGAUAACCUGCCGAAAGGUGGGCUAAUACAGCAUGAGACCACGAGGUUUCGACCUCGCGGUCAAAGCAGGCCUCUAUUCAUAAGCUUGCGCUCCGGGAUGGGUCCGCGGCCCAUCAGCUAGUUGGUAGGGUAACGGCCUACCAAGGCAACGACGGGUAGCUGGUCUGAGAGGAUGAUCAGCCACACUGGAACUGAGACACGGUCCAG